CUGGGGCUGAAGGAACAACACAACAGUAUGUAAGUUCGGCUGAAGCCGACGCGUCAGGUUCGGUUGCGAACGCAGGCAGGAUCCAGAGAACUAAUAAAGAGGAAGUCCAGAGAAGACCAAUAGCUUUGAACAAGCCAUUGACUUGCUUACCCAGCCCACCAAAAACACUUGGAUAAUAAUCAGGUGAUUUCAGCAGCGGGGAAAUCUGCUUUCACACACAACUACGGUGAACAUGAAGAUUUGAAUUUUCAGUGAAGUAAAAGGAAAAACAGAUUAAAAGAAACUUCCCUUUCACAUUUCUCUAAAAUCCUCCAAUUGUAAGGUAAAAAUACAUUAAUUACUCACUAUAUAGACUUUCUUUGAUGUAUUCAUUAGGUUGAAAUUUUUGAACACUACCAUUUUAGUAAUCUCCUGAAAAGUAGAAUUCCAAAAUUUGUAGAAUAGCAAAACCAACAUGAUCCAAGGUCGUAUCACCUCACAUCUAUUUAAUUACAAUUAGUGCCUGCCUUUUGUCCAUCCUGAAUAUUACUAGAUAACUGUGAUUUCUAAAACAGCAUUUUCCUGCCCCCCCCCCCCACAUGGUGGCAUGUGCAUGUAGUCCCAGUUACUCAG